rnacentral:rRNA from 1 species
CCUACGGGAGGCAGCAGUGAGGAAUAUUGGUCAAUGGGCGCGAGCCUGAACCAGCCAAGUAGCGUGAAGGAUGACUGCCCUCCGGGUUGUAACCUUCUUUUAUAAAGGCAUAAAGUGAGGCACGUGUGCCUUUUUGUAUGUACUUUAUGAAUAAGGAUCCGCUAACUCGGGUCCCGCAGCCGCGGUAAUACGGAGGAUCCGAGCGUUUUCCGGAUUUAGUUGGUUGAAAGGGAGCGUAGAUGGGUUGUUAAGUCAGUUGUGAAAUUUUGCGGCUCAACCGUAAAAUUGCAAUUGAUACUGGCAGUCUUGAGUACAGUUGAGGUAGGCGGAAUUCGUGGUGUAGCGGUGAAAUGCUUAGAUAUCACGAAGAACUCCGAUUGCGAAGGCAGCUUACUAAACUGCCACUGACACUGAUGCUCGAAAGUGUGGGUAUCAAACAGGAUUAGAUACCCGUGUAGUC